UCAAAUGAAGUAAUCGGUUAAUGUAUAUUGUAUUAACAGAUUCAACAAAUGAUUUUGAAUUGAUUGCAUCAUUGAAAUACUGAUUUCAUAAGAAUUGAAGAACAUCAAUAUGCUUUUUCUUUUUUGCUGAGGUCAGAUAAUUUCGUAAGAAUAAAAUUCGUGUCACAAUGAGGUGUAUGUUAAGUAAGAAAUCAACUAAGAAAUCAAUGAUUGAAUAAUAAAGAAUAAUAAAGAAUAAAUGCAUUUAUGAUUUAACGAUUAAUCACGAAUUAAUAUUUAUAGAUAAACGAUUUGAAUAAUUUUUUGAAGAGAAAGAAAAAAAGAAGAAAUGAGAACUAAGAAACAAUUCUCAAUAAGCCAAAGUAGAGACUUACAAGCAUGAUGUUCGAUUAAGUUCGAGUUAGACACUAGCGGUCUAGUCACGCUACGAUCACGACUUGGUCGCAGAAGUUUCAAACAUUAUUCAAUGCUCUGAAGUGUGACUGUGACAUAUGAAUGUUGAUGAAUACUAGACCAUCGAAAAACAAGAAAUGAAAACAAGUAUGAUCUGUUUUCUAUGUAACACGUGCAAGUAUUAUAUACAAUGGUUUCCGGUUAAAACAAGUCGAUAACAGAAACCGAUAUAAAAAAAACAAACACAUCUUCUGCAAAAUAUUACCAGAAAUUAAUCUUUGAACUCAAUCAUUUUCUGUUCACAAAAGAAACAAUACUAUUUUUUAAUUAUUUGUAUAAAACAAAAAGUAAUUAAAUAUCAAGUAUGUUUUUUAUUAUAAA